UGCAAUAAUGUGGAAGAGGUGGAAUAUUAUCUGGUUAGGGUUCAGACGGCCUAAUCCACCGGCACCACUGUGCUUUGGACCUUGGGAAAGGGGAAUUUGAAAAGAAAGGAGCAGGAGCCACCAGACAAACAAAAAGCACUGCCCGGAAACUACAACACAGGUUGCAUCAGUUACAGGUCCCAAUUUGGCCUCGCCAAAAGUGGACCCGCAUUGGCUUCAUGACGCGGUACAAGUUUUCAUUGCCAUGUGGUCUUCGACACUGCAAGAAUAUCUCCAAAUUUCAGGAAAAAAAACUUCUUGAAUCAUCCAAAGUGUUCACUUAGCUAAAUGGUUCUCCCAGUUGUUGUUGCAUGAACAGAUUGCUUGAGAAAUAUUUGAUGAUUCACAGAUUUUAUGCUGCUGUAUUCAUGAAGUAAGCUUUUAUGGAUUACAUAGCUAUAACCCUGUUUUUUUUUAAAAAAAAAUUAUUCUUUAAUUUAUACUUUUUAUGAAAUAUUCAUAUUUAUCUAAAUUCCAAAUUUUCGGUCUCGAAAUCAAGCUGGUCGAGCAACUGGCCGAGUCUGGCCACGGUUUUUAUGGUACUGUUAGAUUCUUCAUAAAGAUUCCGCACUCACUGCACAGCAACGCCCUCAAAAUCCUGCAGCUGAUUACGUUAUCAAGUGAUCCCAAUCGCAUUUCAAGAAGCUUAUCUGUGACCACCACCAACCAAUUCUGUAGCACCAAAACCACCACAUUCUCACAUCAAAAGCAUUAAAAAAAAAAAAGAACCCAAGUCUGCAGGAAGAUUUUCUCAGAUAGGUGAGCAGCUAAUGGCAUACAUGCAGAGGAAGAACCAAACCCUCAUAACCAUAUAGGAGCAACUUUUCAUGGAAUCUCAUGGAUCUUAGCAAUUAAGACCAACAUAUUGUGAAAGGUUGAUGUCAAAAUUAAGGCAGCAAUCUAAUCUUCAUUCAACGCACUAAAAGGAAACUUCCAAUCAGGAUUCAAGGUGAAGAGAUUACUUUGGAAAGCUAUGAAGAUAUUCACUGCUGUCCCACAACGACAUCAAGGAGUUCUUUUUUUGGUAAAUCUUUACCGGCUGCUACUCCAGUUUCCAUGACAAGUAUGGGCAUAUUUAUGUUACUGUCAAAAUAUUAACUUACAACAUCACUUUUCUGACAAAGGACCUUAGAGAACAACAAAAUAAUUAUAUGAUUUUUACUGCUGUUAAAAAAUAGACUCUGAAAGUCGCAACACGCUUGACGAGCUCUAUGCAUAUCCUAAAUGUUAGAAUAAAAUAGUCAAUUACAUUUUUUGGGGGAGAACCAUAAUAUUCUCA